UACAGAGGUCUCAAGCGUUGUUCGGAUUUAUUGGGCGUAAAGAGCUCGUAGGCGGCUUGUUGCGUCGGCUGUGAAAACCCGCGGCUUAACCGUGGGCUUGCAGCCGAUACGGGCGGGCUGGAGUUCGGUAGGGGAGACUGGAAUUCCUGGUGUAGCGGUGAAAUGCGCAGAUAUCAGGAGGAACACCGGUGGCGAAGGCGGGUCUCUGGGCAGUAACUGACGCUGAGAAGCGAAAGCGUGGGGAGCGAACAGG
rnacentral:rRNA from 1 species